rnacentral:rRNA from 1 species
CCCUAGAGGAGCCUGUUCCAUAAUCGAUAAACCCCGAUCCACCCCACCCUCUCUUGCUCAGCCUAUAUACCGCCAUCUUCAGCAAACCCUGAUAAAGAUUACAAAGUGAGCGCAAACGCCUCCCCGCAAAAACGUUAGGUCAAGGUGUAGCCCAUGAGACGGUAAAAAAUGGGCUACAUUUUCUGUAUCAGAAAACCCACGAAAACUCUUAUGAAAUUUGAGAGUCCAAGGAGGAUUUAGCAGUAAAUUAAGAAUAGAGUGCUUAAUUGAACGAGGCCAUAAAGCGCGCACACACCGCCCGUCACUCCCCUCAAAUAUAUUCAAGGAACAUCUUAACUAAACACCCCGAUGUCUAUAUAGAGGGGAUAAGUCGUAACAUGGUAAGUGUACUGGAAGGUGCACUUGGAC